ACAGAUACUCUUUGUCAUUCCAGAGCCCAAGGGAUGGGUUCAACCAAUUUGAAUAGAGAGACCACAGGACUUCAGGAAAGAAAGCUACAAAGAUUCUACCAUCUAUUUCCCAAAUGUGAGGUUUGAAAGACUGUUAAAAUAGACUAAGUCGAGUCUGUCCAUGGUCUCCUGGUCCAAAAGAACACCAAAUCCCCAAGCAAGAACUCACUAAGAGGGCAAGUGGAAUCCAAGCUGGACACUCAGAUGCAGCAUUAGAGCCUCUGUGCUUAGGAAGCAAGGCUGACUCUGGAGCCAGACGCUCUAAACUGUGUUGCACUCUGUGGAUCUGUGACUGAGAAAUUAUUAUAAAAUGGCACUCUAACAUUAGUGCCCCAGUACAGGGCACCAGUGAUCAAUAUCAGGACUAACAAAGAGAGGCAUAUAGGCCAGCUUCUGUUGGACUGUGCAAAACCAGUCUUCAGCAGAGGAAAAUCAGGAUUACUGUUCACCCUCUGCUCUGUAUUUGCAAAAAGAAAAACCUCCAUUAGGACUGAGUAAGUGUCAGAGGUCUUAGACAACUCAAGAGAAUGCAGGUAGGAUGGGGAGUGAUGGAGCUAUUGGCCCAACAUGAGAGUUCCUGCUAGUCAUGGGAAAUCAAGCCUUCAAAAAAAUUUUUGAAAAUAAAAAGUAUGACCAUAUUUGCAUAUAGGGUUGGUAUAGUAAAUUGGAUCAAUUUAUUCCAUGGCGUAUAAAUAGAAGCUACCUACAAAGAAUUUCCAUGGCCAAAUAAAGUAGGAAACACAGGCUUAAAUAAAUUUAAAUUUCCUUGACCAGAGGACUUCUCAAAAGGGAAACAGGGUAGAGUUCAGCAUUUCCCAAAUGAAUGGGAUUAAGAAAACCUUCUUUAUAAGGGAGAUUUCAUUAGACUAAAAUUCUGGGAAUACACUGGAGAAAUGCUGCCAAGUUUAAACUGUAUAGAAUAAAAUGUAUCCUACAAGAAAAUUUUAGUGUUUUGGGCCACUUAGGAAUGGCAUCAGAAUUUGUUCAAAAUAAUACAUUCAAUGAAAACAGUUCAUUCUAAUUCUAUAGAUGUGGAAAAAAAUAUUUUUACACUCCCAAAAAUAUUUCUACACUCCCAAAGGAAAAUUUUGAAAGGAAAGAGCUACUAUGUGUGUCAGGAAUAAAUUACUCAAUGCAUAAAGUCACUCACUUCAUUUUCAUAGAAACUCUUUAAGAUAUGUAUUGUUAUCUCUACUUCUUAUGUGAAGAAAACAAAACUUGGGGUGUUUAAGUGACUUACUCCAAAAAAUAAUAGUAAUAAUAAUGGUAGGAGGAAAGUUUGAACCAGAACCGUUCCACUGCCCAAAAUCCCAAGACUAAUUGAUUGAUUCAUUCUAUCCUUCCUUCUUUUUAUCCUUCCAUCCUUCUUUCUCUUUUUUCUCUUCAAAAUGCCUCUCUAAAAUUCAAAAUCAAUUAAAAAAAAUCACUAGUUUCCUUACCAGGGUUUAUUUUUCUGUUAUGUGGGAAGUCGGCCACUAUUGCGUAGGUUACAUGAAAAACAGUUCCCAUUUUGUGUCUUGUGUUAUAGUGAUCUAUUAUGUUAUAUGGACCACCCUGUACUUCCUAUAUUCCUGUUUUUAUUUCAUAGGAGCAAAAAUUUUUUUCACUUAAAACAAAAGCUUCAUUUAAAAGAAAAAUUAAUUAUUAUUUAAGGGGCAGUUCAAACACCAUUUCAAAUCACACCGUACUUCUUUACAUCAAAAGCACUCUACAUAGAAUGUAGAUGAUUGUUAAAAGGGUCACUUUUUUCCAGUCCACAUUCCAGUCAGUUGUGUAGUAAACAGGAAAGCAAAGACUUCAUGCAGAUGUGACCAGCUGCCAUCUGAGACCAGUAUUUUGCAUUGAUUUUAAUUCACCUUUAUAACCACACAAAGAGUUAUUCAAAUUGGGAAGGUAUGACAGAUCAAAAACAUAUAAAUUCAAACAAAUUGCUCAAAUGAAGAAAAGAAGUUCAUCACCUUUUAUGCCUUUACCUUCUCUCCACUGCCUUUAAAAUUAAUUAUGAUUUUGCUCUUUCAUAAGCAAAUAGUCCUCUGCCUCAAAGAUAGGUUCUGUGUCCCAAGUUGAGCUCUGAAAUACAACUGCCUUGAUAAAUCCUGACUGUAAGAGUUUGACUUAAUGUAGCAAACUGAGAAAUUUAAAUGUUAUGAAGAUAAAUGGUGCUAUACCAAAUUUAUGGAUUCAUUCUCCAGUAUACACUAAUUUUCAUUUCCUCUUAUAGCAUCAAUUUACAUCUUGAUUGGGAUUUUAAAUCCAUAUAUAAAUAAAUAAAUAAAUAAAUAAAUAAUAAAUAUCCAUCCACAAUAUUAUAAAUAAAUAAAUAAAUAUUCAAAUAAAUAAAUAAAUAUUCAUUCACAAUGAGGCAAAUGCAAAUUUAAACAAUAGUGAGAUACCAUUUUCAUUCGAACUGAUGCUGGAAUUAACUAAUGCCACUGUAGUAAUCAUUUUGCAUUAUAUAAGUGUGUUCAAAUCAACACAUUACACACCUUAAAUUUACACAACACUGUAUGUGAAUUUUAUCUCAGUACAACUGGGGGGAGAAUGAGAUGCCACAAUUCAGUUCUUGUUGAGGGCUGUGUACUGGUUCACAGAUUGCCACCCUCUUGCUGUGUGCCCAUAUGCCAUUUAAGUUCCAAAAUAAGUUUGAGAUUAAAGAUAUUUUGCAGAAAAAUUUGGAGAAUAAAGGAGGAAGUAGAGAAAUAUGGAUGUGUGUGGAUGAAUGAUGCACCUUUCUAAAAACUCUAGCAAAGCUAGUGGUAUUUUGAACCUACGUUUCUCCAAGCAGCACAUUCAAAGAAUCUAUUUAUAAAAUUUGAGAAUUUAAUAAUGGUGGCCCUUGGCAUUUUAUGGAGAGAGAGAUUAUAUAUAUAUAUAUGGCAACUCAUUUUUUAUUUGAGGCUCCAAUGUGCUAAGAACAGGUUCUUAUCAAAACUGCAUUUGCUCAGGUCCCAUCAUCUGUUACCUGCUUAUUUAUCAAUUUACCCUCCUCCUCUAGUUUCCAACACCUUUUUAAUUCAUCGUCUCCUCCAACAUGACACCUCUGAUAUAAAAUUCGGGUCAUGUCCAUCCCUUCAAUGAACUCCACCUGUGGAGGUAGAGAUAUUUCCUCUAAGAAUAGUUGAGUAAGAAAUGCAAACUGCUGAAAAAUAUGCAAAGUGUUCUUUCAUAAAGCAAACAAUGGCCAAAAAAAGUUGUGUGUAUAUGGAUAUUGAAUAUAUAUAUAUUCACACAUACUUGAAUAUGAUUAUGUAACCAAGGAGAAAAUAAACAAAGGCUACAACGUAAGUGUUCACACGAAUUGGGGAAGGAAAGAGGUGUAUAGGGAAGGGAGAGCAGAUACUGAGAAGAGUUGGGGGAACCCAACUGAAAAAGGAAAAGGGAAAAAUCUUUAAGUAUAUGAUCACCUUUAAACAGUGACAUACAAUAUGUGUGCAGUAUUUUUAAAUAAACACUUGAAGUGCAAAACAAUAAUGAUAAUUUCCCAUUGUCUGUAUGGAGAAGUUGAAACUCUUUGGCAUAAAACAGAGCUUUUCAAUCCCUAAAUCCACAUCUCACCAUGUACCAGCCACACCUCUUCACUAUGCCCACAUCACAGUAUCCCAACUGUCCUUUUCUUACCUUUACACAAUCAGUGUGCAUCUGGAAUGCCCUUCCCUCCCUUCUUCCCAGGGAAGGCCUAUCUCCCUUCAAUAUCCAGUUCAAAUCUCCCCUGUGAAGCCUUUUUGAAAUUCAGAUGCUCUAUCUUUUGUGCUCCUGGAGAUCUCUGUAGAUCCCUCUACUGUGAUGUUGAAUUAUAUUGUGAUUACUUUUGGACAUAUUUCAGCAUAUGAUUUUCCCACUAGAUGACUGGCCUCAUGAGGAAAAGAACCGUAUGCAUAAUUUUUGUACAUCAAGCACCCAGAGUAACACCAGCAUUUAGGAAACAAACGGUGAGCAAUUUUUGUUGACUUAGUUGAUUGACUGGUUUAUAUGUGAUUCUACAUUUUUUAAAUGACGUCCAAUAUUGUUGGCCAAGUUUAAGCAUUUAAAUCCCCAUAAACAGAGUAGUUUUAUUCUCGUUAACGGCCAUGUUUUACACACAUCUCACACCUGCAUGUGUAACAAGGGAUGUAUCCUUUCUAAGUUUUGGGGGAGGCCCUCCCAAAUUAAGUACAAAGCAAUAAUAGGUGGCGUAUUCUCCUCUAUUCUAAAAUGAGGCACUAUUCCUCCUGUUCAAGACUUGAAAGGAAGUGGACUACAACCACCUGGUGACUCGAAAUCUACCUCAAAGAUCUCAAAGAGUUGAAAUUGGAGGGACUGAAAGAAACAAAUGAAUUUCUCUGGAGGAAGUUGCUGAAAGCUAUAGUAAUUUUCCAUCCCCCUCGCCUACAAGACAGGCUUUGAGAGCCCCUCUCAGAGACGCCCACCUUUAUUUCUUAAGGUUUGGAGGACAGAGAGGACCUGUGUUUGUUCAGUCCAUUCCUGAGAAAUGUCAGGCAAAAGAACCGCCUCCUCAGGGGCAGAGUGAAAAGAUACGGCUGUACUUAGGGCCAGCAGCACUCCUGAUGACAGAGCAGAGUGUGUGGCUCUGUGGACCAAAUGUGGGUCCUUUAGAUGAGAGCUGGCUAAGGGCAUCUUCUGAAAGGAUUUUUCUAGGCAUAAGUAACCUUAGCAUAGAGAAUCUAUGGGGUCCUAAUUGAUGGUGACAUGGAGGGGCAGUUAAAGCAUUCAAGCAAAAGAUGACUCUGGUGAGAGAACCACACGUCAGCUGCAUACACACUGCAAGCCAACACAGAUGGCGAGCAUGCCUGCCCCGUCUCACUCUUCCUUCCUGCCCCAACAAGGAAGGGUCAGACUCCAGGGCUGGUGGUUAGGAGGAUAGCAGGAUGUUUCCUCAUGGGAAGUAGGACCAAAAUGAGGAGAAGAGAAGCUUUGAACUUUAUAUGAAAUUGGGAGUUCACUUUGAUCACUGAAAUGAGAUUGUCACGUGACCAUAUAUGACUAGAGUACUAAUUUUAUUGUACAGACAUGAAUGAAAAAGAUAUGGUGCUCACCUGAGACUUCAAUCCAAGGUGGGGAAAGAGCUAAUCCAUAGGAAGGUUUGAAUUUAACAUGUUCUAAUUGCUCAAACAAGCUGGUUGUGCAUGUUAUUUUACACAACAGGAAUGGAGUAAGAAUUAUGUAUUAGAAUGUAUUCAUUCAUUGCUACUACUUGGAAAAAAACCUCAAGUACAUGCUUGGCCCAGAGAGAACUACUGGAUCAUUGUUAUUUUAAAGGCCAACAUUGGAGUAAAUUGAGGCUAGUUCAUAUAUUACACACACACACACACACACAUAUAAAAUUUCAUGAUUGAAACUCACAAUUAAAUCACUAUAGCAAUUCUAAUACAAAAAAUUCUUAUAUUC
rnacentral:lncRNA from 1 species